rnacentral:rRNA from 1 species
ACUCCUGCGGGAGGCAGCAGUGGGGAAUUUUGGACAAUGGGCGAAAGCCUGAUCCAGCAAUGCCGCGUGCAGGAUGAAGGCCUUCGGGUUGUAAACUGCUUUUGUACGGAACGAAAAAGCUCCUUCUAAUACAGGGGGCCCAUGACGGUACCGUAAGAAUAAGCACCGGCUAACUACGUGCCAGCAGCCGCGGUAAUACGUAGGGUGCGAGCGUUAAUCGGAAUUACUGGGCGUAAAGCGUGCGCAGGCGGUUAUGUAAGACAGAUGUGAAAUCCCCGGGCUCAACCUGGGAACUGCAUUUGUGACUGCAUGGCUAGAGUACGGUAGAGGGGGAUGGAAUUCCGCGUGUAGCAGUGAAAUGCGUAGAUAUGCGGAGGAACACCGAUGGCGAAGGCAAUCCCCUGGACCUGUACUGACGCUCAUGCACGAAAGCGUGGGGAGCAAACAGGAUUAGAUACCCCAGUAGUCCC